rnacentral:rRNA from 1 species
GAUGAACGCUAGCUACAGGCUUAACACAUGCAAGUCGAGGGGUAACGAGAGGAAAGCUUGCUUUCCUUGUCGACGACCGGCGCACGGGUGAGUAACGCGUAUCCAACCUGCCCCCAACUAGGGAAUAACCUUGCGAAAGUAAGACUAAUACCCUAUAAUUUCUUCAGAUGACAUCUGACGAGGAAUAAAGAUUUAUCGGUUGUGGAUGGGGAUGCGUCUGAUUAGCUUGUUGGCGGGGUAACGGCACACCAAGGCAACGAUCAGUGGGGGUUCUGAGAGGAAGGUCCCCCACAUUGGAACUGAGACACGGUCCAAACUCCUACGGGAGGCAGCAGUGAGGAAUAUUGGUCAAUGGGCGGAAGCCUGAACCAGCCAAGUAGCGUGCAGGAUGACGGCCCUAUGGGUUGUAAACUGCUUUUAUACAGGAAUAAAGUUAGCCACGUGUGGUUAUUUGUAGGUACUGUAUGAAUAAGGACCGGCUAAUUCCGUGCCAGCAGCCGCCGUAA